rnacentral:rRNA from 1 species
UACCAGCCCCACGAGUGGUCGGGACGGUUAUUGGGCCUAAAGCGCCCGUAGCCGGCCCAGCAAGUUCCUGCUAAAAUCACCGGGCUCAACCCGGUGUUUGGUGGGAAUACUGUUGGGCUAGGAGGCGGGAGAGGCCGGGGGUACUCCUAGGGUAGGGGCGAAAUCCUAUAAUCCUAGGAGGACCACCAGUGGCGAAGGCGCCCGGCUGGAACGCGCUCGACGGUGAGGGGCGAAAGCUGGGGGAGCAAACCGG